UAGUCCACGCCGUAAACGAUGGUCACUCGCUGUUGGCAACACACUGUCAGUGGCUGAGCGAAAGCAUUAAGUGACCCACCUGGGGAGUACGUUCGCAAGAAUGAAACUCAAAGGAAUUGACGGGGGGCCCGCACAAGCGGUGGAGCAUGUGGUUUAAUUCGAUGAUACGCGAGGAACCUUACCAGGGCUUAAAUGCAUAACGACCGGACUGGAAACAGUCCUUUCUUCGGACGGAAUGCAAGGUGCUGCAUGGUUGUCGUCAGCUCGUGCUGUGAAGUGUCGGGUUAAGUCCCAUAACGAGCGCAACCCCUAUCUUCAGUUGCCAGCGGGUAAUGCCGGGGACUCUGGAGAAACUGCCACCGUAAGGUGAGAGGAAGGUGGGGAUGACGUCAAAUCAUCACGGGCCCUUACGUCCUGGGGCUACACACGUGCUACAAUGGGCCGGUACAGAGGGGCAGCUACACUGCGAAGUGAUGCGAAUC
rnacentral:rRNA from 1 species